CGUUGAACUGAGUCCAACACACACACAAAGGAUUCACACUGGUCUCUUUGAUUUGAACUGGUUGUCGCGGUGGGACCACGUCAGGGAUCAGUUUUCUAGUCACACGGAUCCUAAGCCUCACACGGGGCCCUCGGUGCACUAAUCCACUCUACUUGUAGUCUUCAUAAUUUACCAGACGGGGCACAAAAGAGCAGCCGAACAGACGUGAACCUCAUUGGCUGCCACCCAAACACAUGGUCAUCACGCAGAAUCCUCACACAGCACAAUGAAACACGAUGCACGUGGCUGUCUGCACCUGGCUGUCUGCACCUGGCUGUCUGCAGCUGGCUGUCUGCACCUGGCUGUCUGCAGCUGGCUGUCUGCAGCUGGCUGUCUGCAGCUGGAUGUCUGCACCUGGCUGUCUGCAGCUGGCUGUCUGCAGCUGGAUGUCUGCACCUGGCUGUCUGCAGCUGGCUGUCUGCACCUGGCUGUCUGCACCUGGCUGUCUGCACCUGGCUGUCUGCAGCUGGCUGUCUGCAGCUGGCUGUCUGCACCUGGCUGUCUGCACCUGGCUGUCUGCACCUGGCUGUCUGCAGCUGGAUGUCUGCACCUGGCUGUCUGCAGCUGGCUGUCUGCAGCUGGAUGUCUGCACCUGGCUGUCUGCAGCUGGAUGUCUGCACCUGGAUGUCUGCAUGCGCUGCCUGCACCUGGCUGUCUGCAUGCUACUGUCUGCAUGCUGCUGUCAGCACGCUGCUGUCUGCAGCUGGCUGUCUGCACCUGGCUGUCUGCACCUGGCUGUCUGCACCUGGCUGUCUGCAGCUGGAUGUCUGCACCUGGCUGUCUGCAGCUGGCUGUCUGCAGCUGGAUGUCUGCACCUGGAUGUCUGCAUGCGCUGCCUGCACCUGGCUGUCUGCAUGCUACUGUCUGCAUGCUGCUGUCAGCACGCUGCUGUCUGCACCUGGCUGUCUGCACGCUGCAGACCAGUGGGUGUGAGGACAGGUGUCUCAGUGAUGCAGCACUAAGACACCAGCUUCUCAUACUAAUCAUCAUUGUCUGUGGGGCACGUGCUCCUGCAACCCAGACAGAGAGGAUGCUGUGGGGCGGUGCCACAUGACUUUGAUCUCAUAUAACUCAUAAUUCAAUAAUAUUAAUGACUGAAAUGACUGGUCAUACUGGAAGACACUCGAUAGAAUAAUUCCACUUAAUGUAAUAAUGUGUAAUUACUACUGCUGCUGGUAUCAGCAUUAGUAAUAUGUGGAACAAAAAUGCACGAACAAUAACUAGAUUUUAGGUAAUUUAAAUAAACCUAUAAGGCGUGUAGCAGCUGCUAAAAGAUGUGAUUAUCUGAGCGGGCUCGUCGUCCUCCAGGCCGGCGGACCGUUACUCGGCCUUCAAUCAAAGCGGGGCACAAAAGGCGGAACAUGUGGCUCCUCCUGGGGGUACAAAGCCUUACCUCCCGGCGGCAGCAGCAGCGCCAGCACCAGGCAGAGCGACCACAGGAAGCGGGCAGCCAUGGCUCCGGGCUACACACGCGCGAACAGCCGAUACGAAGUGAGAGUAAAGCGGGUGGAAUAACGGGCCAGGCACCGUGUCGGUAGGCUGCGGUUGAGCGCUGUGGAGAAAGCCGCAUACAACCGGCGUUCACUCUCCCUGUGACACUCCCACACGGAGCCUCUUCCGGCGAAGCCUUUCACAAUAUAAUCCUCUGGUUUUUCUUUGGCCUCAAUAUAUAUAUAUAUGUAUAUUAUGUAGCGAGGAAUGCCGGCAGAGCUAAAUGACCCAGCAACUAUUUUAACAGUACGUGAUGGAUAUGAGAUUUCAAUCAUGCCCUGCAAUUAAAGAUACCUUCAACUCAGACAUGUUCAAGACCAAUAAAAUAAUAACAGGGAGAAUUACAUGAGUGUGUGUGUGCAUCAUGUAGCUGGUUAGCAUUCGGGUCAGUUUCUCAAAUAGACAAAUGGUCAUUCAAAUGUAUAUGUUUACAUGUAUAUGUAUAUGUAUAUGUAUAUACAUAUAUAUAUAUGUAUAUAUAUUAUAUAUAUAUAUGUAUAUGUAGAUGGUAAUAAAAGAUCAAAACUAA